UGGGGAAUAUUGCACAAUGGAGGGAACUCUGAUGCAGCGACGCCGCGUGAACGAAGAAGGCUUUCGAGUCGUAAAGUUCUUUUAUAUGGGAAGAUAAUGACGGUACCAUAAGAAAAAGCCCCGGCUAACUACGUGCCAGCAGCCGCGGUAAUACGUAGGGGGCUAGCGUUGUCCGGAAUCACUGGGCGUAAAGGGUUCGCAGGCGGAAAUGCAAGUCAGGUGUAAAAGGCAGUAGCUUAACUACUGUAAGCAUUUGAAACUGCAUAUCUUGAGAAGAGUAGAGGUAAGUGAAAUUUGUAGGGUAGCGGUGAAAUGCGUAGAAAUUAAAAAGAAUACCGGUGGCGAAGGCGACUUACUGGGCUCAUUCUGACGCUGAGGAACGAAAGCGUGGGUAGCAAACAGG
rnacentral:rRNA from 1 species